AGGGGGCUUAGUGGUGGGGUGACUGCGUACCUUUUGUAUAAUGGGUCAGCGACUUAUAUUCUGUAGCAAGGUUAACCGUAUAGGGGAGCCGGAGGGAAACCGAGUCUUAACCGGGCGUUAAGUUGCAGGGUAUAGACCCGAAACCCGGUGAUCUAGCCAUGGGCAGGUUGAAGGUUGGGUAACACUAACUGGAGGACCGAACCGACUAAUGUUGAAAAAUUAGCGGAUGACCUGUGGCUGGGGGUGAAAGGCCAAUCAAACCGGGAGAUAGCUGGUUCUCCCCGAAAGCUAUUUAGGUAGCGCCUCGUGAACUCAUCUCCGGGGGUAGAGCACUGUUUCGGCUAGGGGGCCAUCCCGGCUUACCAACCCGAUGCAAACUGCGAAUACCGGAGAAUGUUAUCACGGGAGACACACGGCGGGUGCUAACGUCCGUCGUGAAGAGGGAAACAACCCAGACCGCCAGCUAAGGUCCCAAAGUCAUGGUUAAGUGGGAAACGAUGUGGGAAGGCCCAGACAGCCAGGAUGUUGGCUUAGAAGCAGCCAUCAUUUAAAGAAAGCGUAAUAGCUCACUGGUCGAGUCGGCCUGCGCGGAAGAUGUAACGGGGCUAAACCAUGCACCGAAGCUGCGGCAGCGACGCUUAUGCGUUGUUGGGUAGGGGAGCGUUCUGUAAGCCUGUGAAGGUGGCCUGUGAGGGUUGCUGGAGGUAUCAGAAGUGCGAAUGCUGACAUAAGUAACGAUAAAGCGGGUGAAAAGCCCGCUCGCCGGAAGACCAAGGGUUCCUGUCCAACGUUAAUCGGGGCAGGGUGAGUCGACCCCUAAGGCGAGGCCGAAAGGCGUAGUCGAUGGGAAACGGGUUAAUAUUCCCGUACUUGGUGUUACUGCGAAGGGGGGACGGAGAAGGCUAUGUUGGCCGGGCGACGGUUGUCCCGGUUUAAGCGUGUAGGUGUGUGUUCCAGGUAAAUCCGGUUCACUUUAACACUGAGGCGUGACGACGAGGCACUACGGUGCUGAAGCAACAAAUGCCCUGCUUCCAGGAAAAGCCUCUAAGCAUCAGGUAACAUCAAAUCGUACCCCAAACCGACACAGGUGGUCAGGUAGAGAAUACCAAGGCGCUUGAGAGAACUCGGGUGAAGGAACUAGGCAAAAUGGUGCCGUAACUUCGGGAGAAGGCACGCUGACACGUAGGUGAAGUGAUUUACUCAUGGAGCUGAAGUCAGUCGAAGAUACCAGCUGGCUGCAACUGUUUAUUAAAAACACAGCACUGUGCAAACACGAAAGUGGACGUAUACGGUGUGACGCCUGCCCGGUGCCGGAAGGUUAAUUGAUGGGGUCAGCGCAAGCGAAGCUCCUGAACGAAGCCCCGGUAAACGGCGGCCGUAACUAUAACGGUCCUAAGGUAGCGAAAUUCCUUGUCGGGUAAGUUCCGACCUGCACGAAUGGCGUAAUGAUGGCCAGGCUGUCUCCACCCGAGACUCAGUGAAAUUGAACUCGCUGUGAAGAUGCAGUGUACCCGCGGCAAGACGGAAAGACCCCGUGAACCUUUACUAUAGCUUGACACUGAACAUUGAGCCUUGAUGUGUAGGAUAGGUGGGAGGCUUUGAAGUGUGGACGCCAGUCUGCAUGGAGCCGACCUUGAAAUACCACCCUUUAAUGUUUGAUGUUCUAAC
rnacentral:rRNA from 1 species